CGAAAACUACAUUUCUCCAAUUGUAUUGCACUGAAGAAAGCAAGUCACCGACACAUUGGAUCGCCUGGGGGUCUGUAAGCAUCACAAAAGUUCACCACUCUCUGUGCGCAAUGGCUCAAUAUUCACCAAUUCUCACACCCCUUUGGUGAAAUGGCUUGAGUUUAUGUACAGGUUUGCACAAGGUUUGCAGUUGAAGCAGCUUGCCAUGAUCAAUGACAGUAUAGCAGGAAGCUCAAAGACACUGACAAGAAUGACAAAGUACUCAGAAAGGUGUGCAUUGCUGCCCUCAAGAGACUGAGGAGCAGAGGAAUGAGAAUUGGUGGUCAACAUCGAUUUGUUGUUAUCGACGAGAGCAAAUUUGCUCACAAACGAAAGUACCAUCGUGGCCGAUGUGGCAACACUUGGCGGCGUAAACGCCAGUGGGUCUUCGGGAUGCUAGAGGUUGAUGGUCUUUCCAGAAGACCCAUUCUGAGACUCGUCAAGGACCGCUCAAGGCAAACACUUAAAAGCCAAAUUCAAUGACAUAUCAGACCUAGAACAUCAAUCCUUACGGAUGAAUGGCAUCCCUACAACAGAC